GGAAGUAAAAGUUGUAACAAGGUUUCCGUAGGUGAACCUGCGGAAGGAUCAUUAUCGUACAAAAUGUGAGGGGCAUGCGAGGGCUGUCGCUGACCCAAAAGUCGUGCACGCCCGAGUGUGUCCUCUUGCAUAAUAAUCCAUCUCACCCUUUGUGCAUCACCGCGUGGGCACCCUUCGGGAUCAUCUCGGAGGGGGGCUCGCGUUUUCACACAAACCCCCCUUUUAAAAGUGUAGAAUGACCACAUUUAUGCAAUCAAUACAACUUUCAACAACGGAUCUCUUGGCUCUC
rnacentral:misc_RNA from 1 species